ensembl:snRNA U2 U2 spliceosomal RNA
AUUGCUUUUUAGCCUUUUGGCUAAGAUAUGUGUAAUAUCUAUACAUAUCAGUUUAAUAUCUGACACAUUGUCUUACUUCAAGGACAAUAGGGCUGGGGAUUUAGCUCAGUGGUUCCACCGCCUGCCUCGCAAGCGCAAGGACCCGAGUUUGAUCCCCGGUACCAAAAAAAAAUUGUUAGAUCAAGGACAAUAGAUUAAAUGGAUUUUUGGAGCAAGGAGAUGGAAUAGGAGCUUGCUCUGUCCACUUCACACAUUGACCUGGUAUUACAUUACCUCCAGGAAUGGUGCACCAUAC